AUGUUGGCCAGGUUGGUCUCGAACUCCUGAACUCAGGCGAUCCUCCUGCCUCAGCCUCCCAAAGUGCUGGGAUUACAGGCGUGAGCCACUGCACCUGGCCCAUCUCCUCAUUUGUUAAACACACUCACUUUAAAGUGUUUUUUUGUUUGUUUGUUUGUGUGUGUGUGUUUUUUGAGACAGAGUUUUGCUCUGUCGCCCAUGCUGGAGUGCAGUGGUGCGAUCUCGGCUCACUGCAGCCUCCGCCUCCUAGGUUCAAGCGAUUGUCCUGCCUCAGCCUCUUGAGUAGCUGGGACUACAGGCGCGCGCCACCACGCUCGGCUAAUUUUUGUAUUUUUAGUAGAGACAAGGUUUCACCAUGUUGGCCAGGAUGGUCUCGAUCUCUUGACCUCGUGAUCCACCCCGCUUCGGCCUCCCAAAGUGCUGUGAUUACAGGCGUGAGCCACCCCGCCCGGCCUAAAGUGUUUUUAAUUCAUUUAAUUGAAAUAGCUAUUAGAACUUUUCAUGGCCAAGCACUGCAUAAGGCACAUGGAUUGAGAAAACAAAUAUAACAGCUGUAAGGGACAGCAGUACCUGACAUAUAACGGACAGUUAGUCAAUGAUAAUUCCCCACCCCACUCACCUCCCUUGUUCGUGUCCCUCUUUCAGGAACCAAUUCCAAUGCACAGCUUCCAGGGAUGAGCAAUGGAGGACAGAAUGGAAUAGAGCAGGAACUAAGCAAGGAUGCUAAUGCAAGAUAUAGCCGGUAGGUGGCAGCAGCGUCCGUGAAAUGAGCCCGGUCUCGGGCAGCCUUGCCUAAAUUUCUCCCAAGCCAAGCUGUUUGACUGUGUGCACGUGUAUGAACACAGGUGUACGGAUGUGCAUGUGUAUGGGUCAGGUGUAUGGGUCACAGGUGUACAGAUGGAGGCCUAUUUGUAUGUGGCUGUGAGGUGUGUGUGAACAGCUCCCCGCCGCCCCCACUCCCCAAAGCAGCAGCUCUUAAAUUUUGGGUCUUGGAGCAUCCAAUGAAGAUUUAGGAUCCUGCAGUUAAGUACGAAGUUCGUAUUCCAUUUAAAAAGGCUCUGGAAUCAGCUAUGGACCCGUUGAACAUUCUUCUGGAGUGGGGCCAAGAAGCCACCCCAACUCCUACCCCCGGGCAGCCUGGUCGCCCUGGCCCUGCCCACACAGCCUGCCCUGAGGCAUGCUGAGAUCCCAGUCUGCAUCAGGGCUGCCCAUCUGCCUUGGUGCUCAUCACCUUGACAUGAACAGGCCCGAAGUUCUUUUCCAGGAUGGCAGAGCCUUCAGAACCAUCAACUCCUACCCCUCCAUCGUGCAGAGGCCCAGAGAGGGACAGAGACCUGCCCAACACCACAGCAAUGAAGUGGACAAUGAAGAUUCAAAACCACAUUUGCGGUCUCCUCAUUCCGAGAGGAGAUUCUAGAUGAGCCCCGUUACAGGAGUGUAUUUGCACCGGCACACGCCAAGGGACUCCAUCCCCAUGACGCAGAUGGCCCGGGACCUUCUUCCUUUCCAGGCUGUCCCUUCCUCUUGGGUCCCUGAGAGGGCAGUCCUGGUGAGGGCAGGAGAGGACAGCUAAGGCUAAGGAGCUUGGGAAAAGAUGUCCUCUUAAGAACUGCUUUCCAGCACAUGUUGUCCCACCUUCUGAAAUUCAAGGAGAUGGUUAAAAGAGAAAAGCCUUUCUCCGGACCCACCUGCAGCAUUAAGAACCAUGGGUUGGGCUGGGCACGGUGGCUCAUGCCUGUAAUCCUAGCACUUUGGGAGGCCGAGGUGGGUGGAUCAGUUGAGGUCAGGAGUUCGAGACCAGCCUGGCCAACACGGCGAAACCCCGUCUCUACUAAAAAUACAAAAUUAGCCGGGCACGUGCCUGUAAUCCCAGCUACUCAGCAGGCUGAGGCAGGAGAAUUGCUUGAACCCGGGCGGCGGAGGUUGCAGUGAGCCGAGAUCUCGCCAUUGCACUUCAGCCUGGGUGACAGAGUGAGACUCUGUCUUAAAAAAAAAAAAAGAAAGAAAGAAAGAAAAAAAAAAAGAAGCAUGGGUUGGUGCAGGCAUGGCCUAAAACAUUAGAUAAUAUGAAAAAAGCUGCAUUUUAUUGGGCACUUACUAUGCACCAGGGACAUUGUUCAUUAGCUCAGUAGAUAACUACUGUGUGUCCAUUUGCAUUUCCUGGGAACACUUUCAUGACCAAAACAGACAAGGUCCUUCACUCAUAGCCUCUUUCUGAAUCUUCUCAACUUCUCAUCAGCUAAGUGCUGUCAUCCAUGACUGAGAAAUGGCUCAGAGUGAAAUGACAUGCCCAAGGUCACAAGGCAACAACAUGGCAGUCAGUCAGAAAAUUAUCAAACAAGCAGGACUUCCAAGGCAAGGAAGAAAUGGAUGGGGAGAGGGAUCUACCAAGGUUACAGCAGUUUUUUGAGCAGCUGGCACGUGCCUCUGCUGCCAACAUGAUGAGGUACAGAACCCAGCACAGGGAAUGCUCAGCCUGUGACUGUGAGCUGGAUGUGAGAGUCUCCUGAGGACCCUCGGUAUACUCAGAGCAUUUCCUCUCAGGGUGCAGGAAGAGGAAAGCAGAGGAAGUGGACUUGAAGGACCAAAGGUGGGAUCCUAGCUGAGCCAAUCACUGAGAAGCCAUGUGGUCUUGGGCAAGUCAUUCCCUUCUCUGAGCCUCAGUUUCCCCAUCUGUAAAAUGGAGGUAAUGAUACUAUGCCUACCUCAUCAUCAUGCUGUGAAGAUUAAAUGAGUUAUGCCAUGGAAGUGCUGUACAUUACCCAUUGAUAAUGUCUCAGUGGCCUCUCAAUGAAAUGGAGUGUGACAGAGUGCCACACUCUGAAACGGCUCAUCCCCGGUGAUGGUGCUGGGACUAGAACCCGGGCAACCUCGCAGUGCCAUGCCCUACUGCAUCACUACGUCCACCUCGAGGGCCCCCUCCAGCUCCUCUCUAAGCCCCAUUUUGAAUUCCCAAGCUGCCUGCAGCCUGAACCACACAGCCAUCUGUCACCCAACUCUCAAUAUCUGCAAGCUCAGCGUGGGGCGGCCAGGUCCUGAUUUGCUCCCGUCACUCCUCCCGGCUCCCAGAAAUAAAGGAAUAAAUACAUGAUGAAAGAGAGGCAUCUGUAUGUGUUUUGUGUGUGAGUGCAGGGGCCAGGAUCUGGGUGCCAGGGAUGGGGGGUGGUCACUUCCUAGGGGCUUUGGGGCCGCUGGGGCCGGCUUCAGUCUGGAUCUGCAGCAGGUGUUAGUGGGAGCUGGCAGCCAGUAGUCAUGCCCUAGGUGAGGGAUCUGCGGCUGACACAAAGAGAGGGCUGGCCUUUGGACAGAGACCCAGCAGGUGCCCAGCCUGGACUGUUGUUCUUCCAAGUCCUCUCAGGAUGCUAGUGGGCCCUCUCCAACUUGAGGAGCAUUUCUUUUUAAUUUUUUUUUUUUUUCAGACAGAGUCUCGCUCUGUCGCCCAGGCUGGAGUACAGUGGCAAGAUCUUGGCUCACUGUAACCUCUGCUUCCUGGGUUCAGGCGAUUCUCCCGCCUCAGCCUCCUGAGUAGCUGGGAUUACAGGUGCACGCCACCACGCCUGGCUAAUUUUUGUGUUUUUAGUACAGACAGGGUUUCACCAUGUUGGUCAGGCUGGUGUUGAACUCCUGACCUCAUGAUCCACCCGCCUUGGCCUCCCAAAGUGCUAGGAUUACAGGCGUGAGCCACUGCACCCAGCCCUUGAGGAGCAUUUCUAAUUCCAAGCCCAGCAAGCCUCCUUAGAGCAGCUGCCUCUGGC
rnacentral:lncRNA from 10 species